GUUUGUAUUCACACACAACAGGGGGAAAUCAUGCAAAGCGGACGUUGAUACGGUUGCCAGGCAACAGUAAAAGGCAGCGGCGUUCUGCGAAUGGCCCAAUAGAAGCGUCAGAGCAGAGAAAGCGUGCAGACGACUUCAGCUGCAGAAGAAACGUCUCAACGGUUUAGAGAUUUCGCCGACUGAUGGCGUCCAUCAGAACCAGAGGAAUGACAGGAAAAUGAAGAGAAAAGAAAAACAUCACAUCCUGUAAAGUCAGGUUAGAUGAACGAACACAAAAUACAAACAAGACGGAAGUUGGAGGAAACGUCACAGCUUCAGGAAUCAAAGCCUCGAUAAAAGUGAGUCAUUAAAACUUCAUCAGGAAACCUGUUAAAAAUCAUUAGAAAUGUAUUUUAUUAUCAAAAAUAUCUGCAACAUGAUUGCAUAGAUGGACUCAAAGUAGCUCAGAUGGUUGAUCUUUUUUUUGGUGGGGGUCUAAAACAUGACAGAUAAAAAGUUCCUGUUUGAUUUUUGUUUUUCCAAAUCCAUAUAUUACUCCUUUUAAAUAA